UACGUAGGGGGCAAGCGUUGUCCGGAUUUAUUGGGCGUAAAGAGCGUGUAGGCGGCUGGAUAGGUCCGUUGUGAAAACUCGAGGCUCAACCUCGAGACGCCGAUGGAAACCAUCCAGCUAGAGUCCGGAAGAGGAGAGUGGAAUUCCCGGUGUAGCGGUGAAAUGCGCAGAUAUCGGGAAGAACACCCGUGGCUAAGGCGGCUCUCUAGUACGGUACUGACGCUGAGACGCGAAAGCGUGGGGAGCGAACAGG
rnacentral:rRNA from 1 species